rnacentral:misc_RNA from 1 species
GAUGAAGAACGCAGCGAAAUGCGAUAAGUAAUGUGAAUUGCAGAAUUCAGUGAAUCAUCGAAUCUUUGAACGCACAUUGCGCUCCCUGGUAUUCCGGGGAGCAUGCCUGUUCGAGCGUCAUUACAACCCUCAAGCUCUGCUUGGUGUUGGGCCCCGCCGCCCCGGCGGGCCCUAAAGUCAGUGGCGGUGCCGUCCGGCUCCGAGCGUAGUAAUUUUUCUCGCUUUGGAGGCCCGGCCGGCGCUUGCCGACACAUCAAUCUUUUUUCCAGGUUGACCUCGGAUCAGGUAGGGAUACCCGCUGAACUUAAGCAUAUCAAUAAGCGGAGGA